UGCACUUCCGCUCUGUUUGUAGCAGACAGCUUGCUGACGUGACAUACAAAAUAUCUGCAUUUAGUUAUUUAUUAUCUAAUAGAAAGAUUUAAGAGAUCCUCAGGAUGAGGCAGCUAAAAGGAAAAGUGAAGGAAACAAGAAAAGAAAAGAGAGAAAGAAAAUCAGAUAAUUUAAAAAAUAAGGAAAAAAUAUGGACAGUUGUCAUACCAGUGAUGCUAACUAUAUCUGUUAUUAUUAUAGCCUAUGUUCUGUUAAGCACAAAAGCUCUCUGAGUUUAACUUUAGUUUUAUGGUCAAGGGGAGAUAAUCUCUGUUAAUAUCUUUAUAUACUCAAGAUAUCAUAAUUUAUCAUGUUAUCAUAUUUGGGCAAGUCAUUAUCAUUGUCAUAACAGUGGAGUUAAUUUUUGUAUUGUUACUUUAUUCUUAUUCAGAAAUAUUUAUGCUUCCAUUUACAUGUUGAUUUUCAACGUAUUUUAAGCAUAGGUGAUCAAAGUUAAUAUUGAUUGUUGAUAUUUAUCUGGUGGUUUUAUACAUGUUCCAGUAUUUUAAAAAUGUGGCAGAUUUUAUUUGUAUUUUAGUUUUAAAUGUUAGAUAUAAAAUUUGUCUAUUGAUA